rnacentral:rRNA from 1 species
AUGAACAAGCAAGAGUGGAUACCAAACGGGGACACAAGGCUGACCGAGUGGUGCCCAGCCAAGGGUGGAAACAAAGGUGAAGGAAAAGACAUCCGCACCCUCGUCCUCCUUGUCAUGUGGAAACUGUGGAAGCACCGCAACUCGAUUGUGUUUCGAUGGUGCAACACCAUCGGUAGGAGAAGUACUACGCCGUAUAGAGGAGGAGGGCAGAGCGUGGAGGACGUCAGGCAUCAUCAAAGCCGACGUGGAAAGCUUCUUUGCGGCUCUAGCGAUGGGCAAUGA